GCGGGAGUGGUGUAACGGCAGCCACGCCAGCCUUAGGAGCUGGUGCCCUCGGGCGUGCGGGUUCGACUCCCGCCUCCCGCACGA
rnacentral:tRNA from 1 species